rnacentral:rRNA from 1 species
CACCGCGGUUAUACGAGGGGCCCAAGUUGAUAGUCUCCGGCGUAAAGGGUGGUUAUGGAACACAUUAACUAGAGCCGAACCCCGUCAAGGCUGUCGCACGCAUCCGAACGGGAGAAGCCCGACCACGAAAGUGGCUCUACUGCACCAGACUCCACGAAAGCUAUGGUA